UAAUGGUGGAGGGAGCUAAAGAGUGCCUGAAGAGAAGGAGCGCCCGGCGGCGUUAGAACAAAGCCGUGAAUCAGAGAAAUAAAACGUGUUUUCGCCGAUUCAUCACUAGAAAUGUAACUGAAGCAAGUAUCUCAAUAUCACAAAUGAUAUCCACAUAAAUUUACACACAACAAAU